AAGCGCUUCGCGGCCUCAACAUGCCGACGGGAGGAAACAUGCUACCCCUACGAAGGCCAUUUUGGUUUGGAAGUGAUGGUGUGAAGUUUAUCAGCAUUUAUCAAAACAUCCACCGUCGGCAUUUUCAAAUUGAGCAAGAGUGUAAGAAUAACGCCUAAAUUCUGAAACAUUCAGAAGUUCAAUGUUACAUAGAAGAAUUUGUAUAUAUCAUAAAAUGUCCAAAAUUUUCUAGAUUAAUUUCAAAGACAUCAAGUUAAAGCUUUUAUUUUUUUAGAGAAUAAUAUAUGUAAAACAUUUUAUUUUUUUAUUUAUAUAUAGACAUUCUUUUUUAUUAAAACAUGAAUAUGGAAGAAAGCCC